AGUUUCCGAUGCCAUUCCUCUCCAGAGAGAGUGGAGCUUUGCUCGGACAAAUGCGGUGCUCGCCUUGCUCUACCGCAAAUUGUUUGUGCCCUUCAAGCCGGAGGAGUUGGUCCGCCAUUUGCAGCACGUCCUGGAGACGAGCGAAGUCAACUGGCAUCACGUCCUCUCCUGCGUUUCCACGCUGCUGGUCUGCCAGUCGGGAGCCGCACCACUGAUUAAAGACUUCCUGAGCCAUCUGCUGAAGAAAGGCUUUGAGGACUAUGACUUGGAAAGCAUGAUGACGGCGUUCCUGAUCGCGCGCCAGGCUGGCCUGGAGGGUCCUGCCGUUUUCAUGCCUUACGCAGAAUGGUUUAAGGUAAGAGCCUAAGAUAGAUCAUGAGUUCUGACAUUAAAUUGCCUCAUUUAUGGUCCUAACCAUACAGGUUUGCAUUGGCGGACCCAAAGAGACAUCUCAGGAAUUUGCUAUGUCCUCUGCCACAAUUACCCAUUGAAUUUUGACUUGUGAGUUUUAACCUGCUUUAUACUAGUGUGGUCUUGUGAGUAUUUUUUUUUUGGCCCAGUUCCUUUUAGGAGCCAAUCCUGGAUUUUACUAAAGUAUGACUAUUUUACCGUGUUUCCCCGAAAAUAAGACAGUGUCUUAUAUUAUUUUUUACUCCCAAAGAUGCGCUAGGUCUUAUUUUCAGGGGAUGUCUUAUUUUUCUAUGAAGAAGAAUUCAUAUCCAUUGUUGAACAAAAAAAAAUGAACAUUUAUUCUAUACUGUACAGAAGUUGUCAUCACAAACCAACAUAACUAAACCAGACAAACUGUGACCCCUGUCAAGAAUUUCUUGUUACUACCAUUAUUUACAUAUACAACUGGUAUGUAAGCCGCCCCAAGUCCCUCUGGGGAGAUGGAGGCGGGGUAUAAAAAUAAAAUAAUAAUAAUUAUUAUUAUUUUAUUUUAUUGUAUGACGCAGCAAACAAGAUAGAUAUGCUGGAUUUCGUAUCACAAAAUCACAAGUCAAACACUUCCCAAG